ensembl:lncRNA
AUAACACCGCUUGUACGUCACAUAAAUAACUGCAUAAAUUCAGUCAAAGUACACUCCGAACAAUGAGAAAUUUUGACCGCUGUAUAAAUUUGAUGAAAAUUGAAAAUUAUCGACAGAUGCAGCACGCGUUUCUUUUUUAUAGUCGCUGGAAAAUGACGCAAGCGAGACGUAUAAGAGCGACCGUCUCGCGCAUGACGUUCUCUUGGAGUCGUUGCUAUCGCUUGGCGAGAACCAUCUUCUCAUCAUGAGAGCGAAGGUAAGUACCUUUUUGAUAUACAUGUUAAAUAGUUUAUCGUUCUCUAGCUAGUCUUGAUAGCAUUUUGGUGGCUAAUGCGGUACUUAUUAUACUAAUUUAGUUGUUUGUUGUGAUUUAGCUGAAUAUUAAGUUUACUUUUAACUAUGUGAAGUAAAAUGCCUAACUGAGAGAUUUAAGUUGGUGUGUUUUUUUUUUUUUUUUGUAGUGUUGUAUACUCGGGCCUACUGUGCUAACGAUAGCCCGCUAGUUUUUUCGCAGGGAUAUUGUAACCACGUUGAGUUUGCAGUUGCUGCAAGUUAUUGUUUCUGGGUUUUUUUUUUUUUUUUUAUUGACUUAAACAUUAACACUUGAAAUAAUAGUACACCAUGUUACGUAUUUAUCGCUUUUUGGUUUCUUAAUACUAAUCCGUCUGAACGCCCAUGUUGCUUAGUGAAAAUAUAGCCAGUGGCGCUAGUAGCUAAUGCGCAUGUGUAGCUUUGAGUUGCAGUGUUUCUUUAAACUGCCUAAUUCCCUUUUAACAAUCAUUUUUAUUAAUUUUGCACUUUUCUUGCAGUGGCGAAAGAAGCGUAUGCGCAGGCUGAAGCGUAAAAGGAGAAAGAUGAGGCAGAGGUCUAAGUAAACUGGACCCUGUUCGCUGAAGCUGAGAGUGCUCCUCUACUUCAAUCUCCUCAGCAAGAGUCUGCUGGAAGCCCAACUGAAGCUCCACUCAUCCACCAUCUAUGAGGUCUGCUUUCUUCUGAAUGAGGAUUUGGUUUCCCAUCACCUGGUUCUGCAGAAGCAUCCUGGUCUUGAUGACCAUGUGAACUGUUUUGGACAUUCCUUAGACCUGUCAGCUCAGCAAGUUUGUUAAUGUCUUCAAUAAAUCUUUUGGUUUAAAAAUCCUUUGCC